rnacentral:sRNA from 1 species
AACAAAAAAAAGACCGAAUACGAUUCCUAUAUUCGGUCUAGGGAAAUGGCUCUUGGGAGAGAGCCGUGCGCUAAAAGUUGGCAUUAAUGCAGGCUGUUAAGCCGUACAAUGUAAAGGAUAGCCGACAGCUGACUAUUUUCCACUCA